rnacentral:rRNA from 1 species
GUGAGGAAUAUUGGUCAAUGGGCGGGAGCCUGAACCAGCCAAGUCGCGUGAAGGAAGAAGGAUCUAUGGUUCGUAAACUUCUUUUGUGCAGGAAUAAAGUGGGUUACGUGUAACCUUUUGUAUGUACUGUACGAAUAAGGAUCGGCUAACUCCGUGCCAGCAGCCGCGGUAAUACGGAGGAUCCGAGCGUUAUCCGGAUUUAUUGGGUUUAAAGGGUGCGUAGGUGGAUUGAUAAGUCAGCGGUGAAAGUUUGCAGCUUAACUGUAAAAUUGCCGUUGAAACUGUCGGUCUUGAGUGCAAAUGAGGUAGGCGGAAUGUGUUGUGUAGCGGUGAAAUGCUUAGAUAUAACACAGAACUCCGAUUGCGAAGGCAGCUUACUGGGAUGCAACUGACACUGAUGCACGAAAGCGUGGGUAUCAAACAGGAUUAGAUACCCUUGUAGUCC